rnacentral:lncRNA from 1 species
UUUUGAAACUACGCCAGACCCACCACACUUAGCCAAAGCGACAGCAGCUGCCGAAAGACAAAGCAAGGAUCCAGCAUUAAUCCUAUCAUGAGAGCUUCACUCUUAUAAUCUAAUUACCUCCCAAAGCUCCACCUUCUAAUACCGUCACACUGGGAAUUAGAAUUUCAACAUACGAAUUUGAAGGUGUAGGGGGAAGAAACCUCCAAUCCAUAAGAGAAGAGAAAGGAGGAGAAGGAAAACAAAAAAAAGGAAGAUGGAGUUUCACUCUGGUUGUCCAAGCUAGAGUGAAAUAG